rnacentral:rRNA from 1 species
GAUGAACGCUGGCGGCGUGCUUAACACAUGCAAGUCGAACGAAGCACUUUAUUUGAUUUCCUUCGGGACUGAUUAUUUUGUGACUGAGUGGCGGACGGGUGAGUAACGCGUGGGUAACCUGCCUUGUACAGGGGGAUAACAGUUGGAAACGGCUGCUAAUACCGCAUAAGCGCACGGCAUCGCAUGAUGCAGUGUGAAAAACUCCGGUGGUAUAAGAUGGACCCGCGUUGGAUUAGCUAGUUGGUGAGGUAACGGCCCACCAAGGCGACGAUCCAUAGCCGAGAUGAGAGGGUGUCCGGCCACAUUGGGACUGAGACACGGCCCAAACUCCUACGGGAGGCAGCAGCGGGGAAUAUUGCACAAUGGGCGAAAGCCUGAUGCAGCGACGCCGCGUGAGCGAAGAAGUAUUUCGGUAUGUAAAGCUCUAUCAGCAGGGAAGAUAAUGACGGUACCUGACUAAGAAGCACCGGCUAAAUACGUG